GAUGAAGAACGCAGCGAAAUGCGAUAAGUAAUGUGAAUUGCAGAAUUCCGUGAAUCAUCGAAUAUUUGAACGCACAUUGCGCCCCCUGGUAUUCCGGGGGGCAUGCCUGUCCGAGCGUCAUUGCAACCUUCAAGCGCGGCUUGUGUGUUGGGUCUCGUCCCCCGUGGACGGGCCCGAAAGGCAGUGGCGGCGUCCCGACAUGGUGCCCGAGCGUAUGGGAAUCCUCUUCCGCUCGAAUCGGCCCAUGCGGCGCUGGUCGUAACCAAAUUUUUUACCGGUUGACCUCGGAUCAGGUAGGGAUACCCGCUGAACUUAAGCAUAUCAAUAAGCGGAGGA
rnacentral:misc_RNA from 1 species